rnacentral:rRNA from 1 species
AACGAACGCUGGCGGCAUGCCUAACACAUGCAAGUCGAACGAGACCUUCGGGUCUAGUGGCGCACGGGUGCGUAACGCGUGGGAACCUGCCCUUAGGUUCGGAAUAACUCCCCGAAAGGGGUGCUAAUACCGGAUAAUGUCUUCGGACCAAAGAUUUAUCGCCUUUGGAUGGGCCCGCGUUGGAUUAGCGAGUUGGUAGGGUAAAAGCCUACCAAGGCGACGAUCAAUAGCUGGUCUGAGAGGAUGAUCGGCCACACUGGGGCGGAGACACGGCCCAGAGGCGUACGGGAGGCAGCAGUGGGGGAUGGUGCAUAAUGGGCGGAAGCAGGGUGUAGCAAAGCCGCGGGCGGGAUGACGGCCGUCGGGUGGGAAACCGCGUGCGCCUGUGACGAAGCGUGAGUGACGGGAAUGGGUAAAGAAGCACCGGCUAACUACGUG